ACACUCCUACGGGAGGCAGCAGUGGGGAAUUUUGGACAAUGGGCGAAAGCCUGAUUCAGCAAUGCCGCGUGAGUGAAGAAGGCCUUCGGGUUGUAAAGCUCUUUUGUCAGGGAAGAAACGGUGAAAGCUAAUAUCUUUUGCUAAUGACGGUACCUGAAGAAUAAGCACCGGCUAACUACGUGCCAGCAGCCGCGGUAAUACGUAGGGUGCAAGCGUUAAUCGGAAUUACUGGGCGUAAAGCGUGCGCAGGCGGUUUUGUAAGUCUGAUGUGAAAUCCCCGGGCUCAACCUGGGAAUUGCAUUGGAGACUGCAAGGCUAGAAUCUGGCAGAGGGGGGUAGAAUUCCACGUGUAGCAGUGAAAUGCGUAGAUAUGUGGAGGAACACCGAUGGCGAAGGCAGCCCCCUGGGUCAAGAUUGACGCUCAUGCACGAAAGCGUGGGGAGCAAACAGGAUUAGAAACCCCAGGAGUCCCAUGA
rnacentral:rRNA from 1 species